rnacentral:tRNA from 1 species
GCUGGGGUCGCAUAGCCUGGUUAGUGCGGCAGGUUGCUAACCUGUUGUGGGGAAACCCACUCGGGAGUUCAAAUCUCCCCCCCGGCG